AGUGAACGCUGGCGGUAGGCCUAACACAUGCAAGUCGAACGGCAGCACAGUAAGAGCUUGCUCUUACGGGUGGCGAGUGGCGGACGGGUGAGGAAUACAUCGGAAUCUACUUUUUCGUGGGGGAUAACGUAGGGAAACUUACGCUAAUACCGCAUACGACCUACGGGUGAAAGCAGGGGAUCUUCGGACCUUGCGCGAUUGAAUGAGCCGAUGUCGGAUUAGCUAGUUGGCGGGGUAAAGGCCCACCAAGGCGACGAUCCGUAGCUGGUCUGAGAGGAUGAUCAGCCACACUGGAACUGAGACACGGCCCAGACUCCUACGGGAGGCAGCAGUGGGGAAUAUUGGAGAAAGGGCGCAAGCCUGAUCCAGCAAUACCGCGUGGGUGAAGAAGGCCUUCGGGUUGUAAAGACCUUUUGUUGGGAAAGAAAAGCAGCAGGUUAAUACCCCGCUGUUCUGACGGUACCCAAAGAAUAAGCACCGGCUAACUUCGUG
rnacentral:rRNA from 1 species